rnacentral:lncRNA from 1 species
UUUGGUUUUAUUUUUUUCGAUUUGAAUUCCAAUGCCUUCAUUUCUACUAGAUUCUUGGUGUUUGAGUUCUGACGCUGAGCUUUUCUUCCGUUUGGAACUGUGGAAAGAAGAAAAUUCAUUUUUUUGUUUAGAAGGGAAUUUCGAUUUUCCUGAGAUGGAGGAGUAUUUUAUGCUUUUAUUUCCUUUUGUUUUUCCAGAUUUUUCAUACUAUUUUCAUCAUUAUCAAAACUCCUUUUUUUAAAAUAAUGCACCUGCCUUUUCG